rnacentral:rRNA from 1 species
CCUACGGGAGGCAGCAGUGGGGAAUAUUGGGCAAUGGGCGCAAGCCUGACCCAGCAACGCCGCGUGAAGGAAGAAGGCUUUCGGGUUGUAAACUUCUUUUGUCAGGGAAGAGUAGAAGACGGUACCUGACGAAUAAGCCACGGCUAACUACGUGCCAGCAGCCGGGGUCAUACGUAGGUGGCCAGCGUUGUCCGGAUUUACUGGGUGUAAAGGGCGUGUAGCCGGGUUGACAAGUAAGAUGUGAAAUCCUGCGGCUUAACCGCAGAACUGCAUUUGAAACUGUUGAGCUUGAGUACUGGAGAGGCAGACGGAAUUCCUGGUGGAGCGGUGAAAUGCGUAGAUAUUAGGAGGAACACCAGUGGCGAAGGCGGUCUGCUGGACAGCAACUGACGGUGAGGCGCGAAAGCGUGGGGAGCAAACAGGAUUAGAUACCCUUGUAGUC